UACGUAGGGGGCAAGCGUUAUCCGGAUUUACAGGGUGUAAAGGGAGCGUAGACGGAUAAGCAAGUCUGAUGUGAAAAUCCGGGGCCCAACCCCGGAAUUGCAUUGGAAACUGCAUAUCUAGAGUGUCGGAGAGGCAAGUGGAAUUCCUGGUGUAGCGGUGAAAUGCGUAGAUAUCAGGAGGAACACCAGUGGCGAAGGCGGCUUGCUGGACGAUGACUGACGUUGAGGCUCGAAAGCGUGGGGAGCAAACAGG
rnacentral:rRNA from 1 species